GUAGGUGGCAAGCGUUGUCCGGAAUUAUUGGGCGUAAAGCGCGCGCAGGUGGUUCUUUAAGUCUGAUGUGAAAGCCCCCGGGCUCAACCGAGGAGGGUCAUUGGAAACUGGGGAACUUGAGUGCAGGAGAGGAAAGUGGAAUUCCACGUGUAGCGGUGAAAUGCGUAGAUAUGUGGAGGAACACCAGUGGCGAAGGCGACUUUCUGGCCUGUAACUGACACUGAGGCGCGAAAGCGUGGGGAGCAAACAGGAUUAGAUACCCUGGUAGUCCACGCCGUAAACGAUGAGUGCUAAGUGUUGGGGGGUUUCCGCCCCUCAGUGCUGCAGCUAACGCAUUAAGCACUCCGCCUGGGGAGUACGGUCGCAAGACUG
rnacentral:rRNA from 1 species